GUGCCAGCAGCCGCGGUAAUACGUAUGGCGCAAGCGUUAUCCGGAAUUAUUGGGCGUAAAGAGCUCGUAGGCGGUUUGUCGCGUCUGCUGUGAAAACCCGAGGCUCAACCUCGGGCCUGCAGUGGGUACGGGCAGACUAGAGUGCGGUAGGGGAGAUUGGAACUCCUGGUGUAGCGGUGGAAUGCGCAGAUAUCAGGAAGAACACCGAUGGCGAAGGCAGAUCUCUGGGCCGUAACUGACGCUGAGGAGCGAAAGGGUGGGGAGCAAACAGGCUUAGAUACCCUGGUAGUCCACCCCGUAAACGUUGGGAACUAGUUGUGGGGUCCAUUCCACGGAUUCCGUGACGCAGCUAACGCAUUAAGUUCCCCGCCUGGGGAGUACGGCCGCAAGGCUAAAACUCAAAGGAAUUGACGGGGACCCGCACAAGCGGCGGAGCAUGCGGAUUAAUUCGAUGCAACGCGAAGAACCUUACCAAGGCUUGACAUAUAGAGGAAACGUCUGGAAACAGUCGCCCCGCAAGGUCUCUAUACGGGUGGUGCAUGGUUGUCGUCAGCUCGUGUCGUGAGAUGUUGGGUUAAGUCCCGCAACGAGCGCAACCCUCGUUCUAUGUUGCCAGCACGUAAUGGUGGGAACUCAUGGGAUACUGCCGGGGUCAACUCGGAGGAAGGUGGGGAUGACGUCAAAUCAUCAUGCCCCUUAUGUCUUGGGCUUCACGCAUGCUACAAUGGCCGGUACAAAGGGCUGCAAUACCGUAAGGUGGAGCGAAUCCCAAAAAGCCGGUCCCAGUUCGGAUUGAGUCUGCACUCGACCUCAUGAAGUCGGAGUCGCUAGUAAUCGCAGAUCAGCAACGCUGCGGUG
rnacentral:rRNA from 1 species